CUGAUGCGAUGGAAAUUACGGGGCAAGCUUACACAAUACGUUACAAUCUUGUAGAGUUGUUCAGAAACACUCGUGGCUUUUUUUCCGCGGAAAGGCGGAAGUGGAUUGAAAGCCCUGUGGUGUAAUUUCAAGUAACAACAGAACUACCGUAUACAGUUUGAGUACUCGUAAUUACUAUAUAUAAGGACAAGAAACUAUAACGCGCUGACCCUAGCUUAAACCUAACCACUGGAAGUACAAGGUAAACGUUCAUCGUCAUUACAGUCCCAAUCAGCAAUGAAUAUGCGACGCUUGAAUGUAGCCGCCGUACUGGGGCUGCUCUUACUGCUAUGCGGGCUCGCACUCGCGGGCAAACCAGCAACGGCAUCCGACCCGAUGCCGGCUGGUGGAGCCGUCCUGGGGAAUUCUACCGAAGUUAAACCAUUGAAAUUGAAGCCGCCGCCGCCAAAAGGGGCACGGAAAAAUUCCACUAAUACCAUGAACCGUAUGGGCGACUUCUGGUGAAUUCUUCUCUUUCUUGGAUUCUGGCAGUCAGCAGUCCCACAAUUCGAUGAUGUUGUGUUAAACUUACUUGUAUGAUAAAAUCGAUCGCACAACAGCAGAAUCGCUUUAACGCUGGUUAGGCUACUGGUGACUGAGGCCACUGUUUAUGUAAUCUCGAUAAUCAUAAUAUGUGGUGUCCUGUCGGGUACAAAGAACAUUACCUGUACUAAGUGCGUUUCCUAUGCUGUGCAAUAAUUAUUUAAAGCUGGUCUGUUUCUGC